GUCGCUUCUAGGCCUAUUUGCUAAGAUCAAGAGUAGCAUCUGUUCUUAUCAGUUUAAUAUCUGAUACGUCCUCUAUAAGGGAAUAACAUACUAAAUGGAUUUUUAGCACUGGGAGCCGAUAAAGGGGUUCCGUUCCUUCCAUGCAUUGACCCGGUGUUGCAGUGCUGCCGGGAACGGUGCACCCUUC